rfam:Ornithorhynchus anatinus chromosome X2, whole genome shotgun sequence.
ACAAAGGCGUUUUUCAAAGCCAUCCUCAUAAAUUCUAGCUGGUUAU